rnacentral:miRNA from 1 species
CGGCACUCCAGAUGUUUUGGAAUACACCUCCCAUGAUGCUUUGCCAGCAUUAUGGGGGAUGUAGUCCACAACAUCUGUAGUGCCG